UCUCCGUUGGUGAACCAGCGGAGGGACCAUUACAGAGUUUUCACAACUCCCAACCCUUGCGAACCGUACCCCUUCUGUUCUCGUUGCUUCCGGCGGGGGGGACGGGGGGGUCCGAAAAGGGUUCCCCGACACGCACGCCGGGGGCGGCGGGCCCCACGAACCGUUAUAAUACAACCACCAGAAACCGUCAGCGAAAACAAACAAAUUAAUCAAAACUUUCAACAACGGAUAUUUUAGCUAUGGCAUCGAUGAAGAACGCAUCAGAACGGAAUAGCAAAC
rnacentral:misc_RNA from 1 species